GCCCGCCUGCGCCAAAUGGCAGAGCGGCAGUCCUCAAAAGGCUGUGGUUCCCGGUUCGAGUCCGGGGGCGGGUA
rnacentral:tRNA from 1 species